GGGCGCAUAGCUCAGCUGGUUAGAGCACCAAACUUAUAAUUUGGGGGUCCCUGGUUCGAGCCCAGGUGCGCCCACCA
rnacentral:tRNA from 4 species